UUUUUUUUUUUUAGAAGUUUAGGUUGUGUUGGGUUUUUUUUUUUAGUCGUGAUGAUUUAUAAUUAUUUCAUUUCUCGACACUGAAGUAAAUGUAUGGGAUUUCUUGAAGAAGAGUGCGAUGUGGAGGAUAUUACAUGAAUCUACCAUGGCAAGAGGUAAGAGGAAAGGUAAGCUUCCUGCAUAUUAUUAUGAUUAUGAUGAUCAUUAACUAAUAUGUGUCAUUAUGGUUCACUAGGAUCCCAUUAGGGUGGCUGGGCCCAGUGCAUUUGCCUACUCGGUCUAGCAUGUAAUGAUUCGGUGUAACCAGAUUCUUGAGAAAGGACAGGUUACGUAAACAUUUACUGAUGUGGAGUAACUAUACUAUUUGUACUCUGAUAUGCAGGAAGGAAAGUGUUGAUUAACACAGAAAAAAAAAAAAAGCGAAAUUAGCUGAUUGCAUGCUCAUAAGUGCAAGCUGUCAUUGAACUGCUUUUAAAAUAGACACAGCUGGGUGUUUGUGUUGAAAAAUUUCUUGUGUUUUUGCUAAUACUGAAAUAAGCAUGAUUUUGUAUACCAAACAUUUUCAGAUCAUUAAAAUUUGUAAUCUGUGCUGGUUUUAAACACAAAGAAAAGAAACAGAUUCAUUUCGUUGUAAAAUUUGCUGAUAUUAUAUUAACUCAAUCAGGUCUGUACAAAUGGUGUAUUGUGCCUUAUCAAAUCUCUUUGAUCCAUUUAAUACACGAAGUGCCAAACGUGUGUAUUGUUUGUUAACAUUGAACGUUUUAUUCAAAUCCCAGCUCUGUAGCGAACUGGAGGAGUUCUUGUUUAAUGUAACACUGACAUUGCCUGUUGAAAUUUUAAUGCCUUGAGGUGUUUCUUAGGUCAAAGCUGAGUUUACUUUGUGUUGUGAUCAGGGAUGAAAAUGUAGCAGGGAAGAAAAUAGAAGUUUUAGCUUUUUUGCAUUUCUGAGCAAAAGGCUAACACCGAAAGAAGCACACUUUAAAAACAUUUUAUUAUCUAGAUUUAACAUUCGGUCAUUUGUCACGGGUGCAGAAUAAAACUCUGUGCACAAAUUUAGGAUUUAUAUAUUUUUUUUUAAUGCCAUGGAUAUACAGUUCUACCAAAAAAGGAAAUGUUUUGUCCAAUAUGUAGUACAUAUCUUUCUAAGUCCAUGAAGAUUAAUUCAUUGUUUACAGGAGAGAAAAGGAUAUGUAAGAGAAGCCACGUCAAUUAUAAUUUCUGCUGGACUUUAACUUUCGAGUCUUUUUUUUUUUUUUUUUUUUUUCUCUCCUCCCUUUGGCAGAAAAUGCUCCGUUUAUAAAACUAGAGCUAUUUACUUUGGAAACGCGGGAGUCUUGCUCUAACGCCAGUUCUUUCCUGAGCUCUGCCCCGAACACGACUCCACUUCAGUGGUACCUUUGUCCAUCGGGGCACUGCAUGAGCGGCAGGUUUGACCGCUCAACUCUGGCUAAACCCGAAUUCUCUUAAGAAAGUCUCUUAUGGCAGCAUUUUCUAACAGAAAAGGUUUUGUGGAGAGUCUGGAACAGGAGCUUGUGCACGGAACGGAGGCGCACAGCCCCAGCCCUGGGAAAGAGGGGUGGGUGUGCAGAGGGUAGCCGGCUCUCUGCAGAGGGUGGAUGAUGCCUCACCUGCAUGCUCGUCGAUGCUGUGGAUCCACCGAACCGAGCGGCGGGGAUAGACUGAGAGUAUCCAGCUUCGGGGUCAGGAUGGGGGUGAAUAGCUGAGCUGAAACGUCCUGGCUGAAGUGCCAUUCAACGGCAGUCUCCGUGCAGCUCUUGGGUAUAACUCGUAGGGAUAGUGUUUCAACCACACACUUCCCCCCCCCCCCCCUUUUUUUUUUUUUUUUUUAAUUUUUAUUUUGUUUUUAAAUUAAAGGCCAAAGGAAGAAAAUACACUCUCCAAUGUACACUUAAUGCAUAUAGUGUACUUCCCUUGCACCACCCCCUGCCCCAGCUUCAGCCUUCAAUCCCCCUUCACACGGGUAUAGUGGCUGUGUACUCUCGGGCUCUUUCAAGACAGUUAAGCUGCUAAAAUGUACUGACAGCUUAAGAAAUGAAUGAGGUUUUUUUCAGCCAUGAAGAAAGGGUAUUUAAUAACCACGCUUCGAUGGCAUCACGCUUCCAUGGAACGAGUCUGGACACUUUGGUUUUAACAACCAGUAAUAUCACAUUCGGUACAGUAAAUGCUUCGAUGUACGCUUAUAUACUUCUAUUCCCCCUUGACUAUAAGCUUGCCUUCUUUAUUCCAGGUUACCUGGGCAAUAAAGGUAAGGACUGCUCAGCAGACACUGAUACCCUGCUGCUAAGGCAUGGCGAAUGGGGACGGAGCAGCGCGCUAACAAAGAGAAAGAGGUAGUCAAACAUUUUGAAGAGGGGUGAAUGGGAUUGAAGGUGGAUGGAUGAAUGGAGGCAAAGAGGGAGAGGAAGAGGCAUUCAAUGGUCCAGACUUCUUUCCGCAUUUGUAGAUUUAAGUUUAGAUGUCCGCCUCUAGCCAACUUCCAGUUAAUCCUCAACAGCUUCCAGAGAUUAGAAGUUAGUCUGUUUAGCAUGCUGUAUCCUUCUUCCAUGGGUUUUAGUUACAAGUUAUACGAUUAGGAUUGCGAGAACAGUAGUGAACUAAACUUCCCAGUAAGAGGUCUUCACACCAGGGAAGUGUUACUUUGCUGCAGCAGCCGUGCCUCGUCAGUCAUUAGGAAGCUGCAGGUUGUCAGAGGCUUCUCUUGCGCGCACACAAGCGCAGACACACACGCACACACACACAAAACCACAGCACUAAAACUAAAUUAAGAAGCCGAUGAUUAAGACAAGCGUCUACGAGGCCUGUCAUUUCAGCAUCCUUCCAUCAUAACAUUGUGGCACCGAGAAAUUUGCUUGAAAACCCUGGAAAAAAAUGUCUAUGGGAGAGCCUCGUGUUUGAGGCUGUUAAUAUCAAAUAUAGACUGGGAACUGCCUCGGAUGCAAGACAGUAUUCCGCAGAGGAAAGGAGCACUGCAGAGACUUUGAGGCUAUCCGCGCACUCCCGAAACUCUGGUAAGUAUCUCUCCCUUCUAUUGCAGCAGGUACGCGCUGUGUAACUGGAACUGGACCGGGUUUGAAAUCCGCAGCUCUGUUCCCUUCGGGGAACUCCCACUAAAGAUAAAUCUGUAACGAAAGGUCCCUACUGGAUGACUAAUGGUUAUUGGCACUCGGUGCCCCUUGAAGGAGAGCAGCACAUAUUGUGCCGAAGACCUUGCAAGCACACUUUAAAUAAAAAUCUUUUAAGUUUCCCUCCCAUGCAUACACAUCCCUGUUGUUUUCGGGCUAGCUGUGUUGUGUCUCUCCCCCCUGCCCCCCUAUUUAAGAUCUCUAGUCUUCCCUCCCCCCACCCCAUUCAGAACUAAUUGCUCAGUUACUUUAAUGUUUCAAAAAGAGCUAAAUUUCUCCAUCCGAUGAUCUUUUGAGAAGCUGCACUGUACCAUAAGAAACCGCCAGCGGGGUACUGUAUACCUUAGAGGAGCCUGCGCAACUAGGGGAGAGGUAGCGUUAAAACAAUGACAUUAACAAACUGAGUGCGCUGAGUUCCCCUCCUGUUGAACUUUACGAAGUUUCUUGGGCUGGCAGAUGUUGAACGGAGAACGUCGAAAUGGGAAACAAUGGCUGUAGGGGCCAGAAAGCUUUGCUGAUGUCGUAAGCGUAAAACAAGACAGAAUAGUGAUAGAAAGAGAUCCGAGUAAACAUUGGAGUAUACAUUUCCCACGGCGACUACGCUGAGUGGAGAGGUCUGAAUUAAAUCGCCUUAAUUAAAAGCUGAAGAUUUUAUUUAUUUAUUCAUUCCUGUAGCUGUAGAAUGCUAUCCACAGAAAGCCUAUCUAGGGAGUGUAGAGCAUCCACUAGAUUUAUUGUGUUCAGCUGCCACUGCCAGAAUUUUUCAAAACAGAAUAUUUUUAUACUCAUUGCCAAUUUGAAGACGUGCGGUGUUUUAGAUCCUAAAUGUCGCUAUUAUUUUAUAUGCCAGUGUGCAGAAAUGAGCCGUUACACCUGCCUAGGCAAUAGGUGUACCCGUGUAAUGAAAGCUCUCCUUAAUACAGAAAUCUAACAAAAAAUUAAAAUAUCCUUUAAGAAUUAUCCACAGAGUUAUGCAGGCGCUGAUAAUAAAAUGCAAGGGAGAAGUGAACAAGUUAAAAAUUUUGUUCUGUUCUCGAGGUUUAAAUACAUAAUUUUAUUUUCUGUUGUGUUUACUAUUAAAACAUUCUAGACCGGUGCUUUUGUCCGCGUUGUGAUAUUGAAGCAAAGAAUGUGAAAUAAAAUACGGGGGGAAAAAGAAAGAGCUGGCGAGAACAAAAAAAACCCCAACAAAACAAACCCCAAGUAGUGCUUGAAGAAGACCUCUAGCUGCUCUUUGACUCCUAAGAAACUGUUGCUGGAAUAUUUUCAUGGUGUUGUUCUAAAGCUCUUUAGACUCUUAUAAACGUAAUCUUUGGCAAAUGACACAUGGAUCUGGUUUUGCAGUUUUUUCGGUGACUCGAGAGAAAAGACGCCCUCUCCCCCCCUCCCCAGUCGCCCCCCCUUCCACCCCUUCCACAGCAGAAGGACAGAGACGGUCCCUCUCUUUCACCCAGCGCUGUUUCCACUCCGUCUCUCCGCCAAAGGCACCCGGGCGCGGGGGGGCGCCGGUGCCCGGGGCUGCCCAUCCGCCCGUCCUACCUGGCCGUGCCGCGCCCGCCGCUGCCCGCUCGGCGCUGCUCCGUCCCGCCGCGGCCCUGUCCCCGCACCGCGCCUCCACCGCACCCCUCGGCUCGGCGGGGUCUCGGACUCGGCCGGCUCAGCUGCGGAUCCGUAUUUUAGGGCCUACAAAACCGCAUCAUCCUCCCCUAUCCUCCUAUCUUCCCCCGCCCCGGGAUCCCCUUGUAACCACAGCAAAAUGCCCGGUGUAGAAAGAAAGCCACAAUCGACUGUACACCCCUCUAAGGGCAGGCGUUCGGCAGCCUCGAAGUAAAGAUGAUGUUGGCUUUCCCCGUGUCAGGGCUCAGGCGUGAGGAGGUGCCGGAGAGAGGUGCCGUUUCUCGCUCGCGGCCGGACCCGCGCUUGGCGGGUGUCGGGAUGAUGGGGCUGGCGCUAGCGCCAAGGAGGCUGCUCGGGAAGCGGACCCUGCUCGCUCCUUGGUGUCCUGGCACAAGAUUGACUUGAUCGUCCCUGAAAAUGCAGAACAGCCCAUGAGAUCUCUCCUUUCCACCAACCGUGUGGAAGAUGCUUGCAAAACAGCCCUGAAAAUAAAACAACUUAAUUGAAGGCAGUUCGUGCAACAAUUGUGUCAUGGAAUACCUAAUGUUUCUUUAUCUGUAACUAACUUAUUCCAUUUUGGAUAGUUCAAUAAAUAUCAGCUAUGCCAA